rnacentral:rRNA from 1 species
GACGAACGCUGGCGGCGUGCUUAACACAUGCAAGUCGAACGGAAAGGCCCUGCUUUUGUGGGGUGCUCGAGUGGCGAACGGGUGAGUAACACGUGAGUAACCUGCCCUUGACUUUGGGAUAACUUCAGGAAACUGGGGCUAAUACCGGAUAGGAUCUCCUGCUGCAUGGUGGGGGUUGGAACGUUUCGGCGGUUGGGGAUGGACUGGCGGCUUAGGGGCUUGCUGGUGGGGUAGUGGCUUACCAAGGCUAUGAUCGGUAGCUGGCGUGAGAGGGUGACCGGGCACACUGGAAGUGGGGCACGGUCCAGACUCAUACGGGAGGCAGCAGUGGGGAAUAGUUGACAAUGGGCGGAAGCCGGAUCCAGCCAUACCGCGUGGGGGAAGAAGGCCUUCGGGUGGGAAAGGCCUUUUGUUGGGAAAGAAAAGCAGCAGGUUAAUACCCCGCUGUUCUGACGGUACCCAAAGAAUAAGCACCGGCUAACUUCGUG